UACGUAGGUGGCAAGCGUUGUCCGGAUUUACUGGGUGUAAAGGGCGUGUAGCCGGGCUGACAAGUCAGAUGUGAAAUCCGGGGGCUCAACCCCCGAACUGCAUUUGAAACUGUUGGUCUUGAGUAUCGGAGAGGCAGGCGGAAUUCCUAGUGUAGCGGUGAAAUGCGUAGAUAUCACACAGAACACCGAUUGCGAAGGCAUCUCACGAAUCCGCGAUUGACGCUGAUGCACGAAAGCGUGGGUAUCAAACAGG
rnacentral:rRNA from 1 species